UACGUAGGCAGCAAGCGUUGUUCGGAAUUACUGGGCGUAAAGAGUGUGUAGGCGGUGCUCUAAGUUCGGUGUGAAAUCUCCCGGCUCAACUGGGAGGGUGCGCCGAAAACUGGGGUGCUGGAGCGCGGGAGAGGAAAGCGGAAUUCCUGGUGUAGCGGUGAAAUGCGUAGAUAUCAGGAGGAACACCGGCGGUGUAGACGGCUUUCUGGACCGUAGCUGACGCUGAGGUGCGAAAGCGUGGGGAGCAAACAGG
rnacentral:rRNA from 1 species